GGAGCUCCAUCUGCCACUCCGCUGCUGCCUCGUGGCUUAUCAAUACCACACCAGCACAUUCCGUCAGCAUAUCUUGAAUCUUCUUCGCGUCAUCCAACAUUCCAACUAUUCCUUUUUCGAAUCCACGACGUUCUUCCUAGGGUUACUCUUCGAAGAGCUCUGUCCAUCAACUACUAUUCAUUCCUCCACCAGGUAACCACUAUUUUCCUUCGAUCAUCUCAAACCACCGGACGUUUCUCCAUUUUUUGUCCUCUUUGACCGAUCAAAACCCCGAAUCCUUUCCUUCCAUCGAUUAAAUCGGUGAAACCUCUCGUUUCACCGUUCAAAUAGUUUUCCUCCGAUUAUUUCGAACUUUCACCGAUUAAAUCCUCCUCUUCCACGAACCUUAGCCUUUUUCACCGGUCAAACCACACAAACCUAGGGUUUUGUUCUUCCGCUGCAUCUUUUGUCAGAUUUUGAGCUCGAUCCGCACCAGAUUUAUGGCUCUUCGCCAGAGUCGACUUCAUCAUGUGGUAAUCAGAGCAUAGGUUCUCUUCCUCGGCUUAGGCACGCUUCAAAGCUAAGUAUCUUGUUCUCUCUUAUUUGAGUUAUUCUUGUGUUGUUUAGUUUCUUGAGUUGUCAUGAAUUUCUCCAAUUGUUUGGUCUCGAUCUGUGUGUUGCGUUGUAAAUCUGUUUUGAGUGCUUGUUCUUCUCUGUUCAGUGUUGAUUCGAAUUUUUGUGUUAGGUUUCCAAGUUUGAUCAAUUUGUGCUUGAAUGUGAUGUGCUUUGAGUCAUUUUAUUGAGUCUUUCAUCAUUUUUAGUCGGUCCAAAAUUUUUGUUUGAGUCAUCUUUAUUUGAGCUUCGUGUCUGGUUUGUCAAAGUCAUGUUCAUUUGCUUAAACUGUUUUCAAAUCUGGUAAUAACCGUGUGUUGCAUCUGGAAAUCUGAGUGAAUAGACAUAUUCUGCACAAUCAAAUGAGCUAUGACCAUCUUUAUGAGGAGCUCAAGUGCAUGAUUAGUGUCAAUCAUUUCAGAAUCAUUGCAGAGUUGUGUUGGUUGAUUCUGUUUUUAGCAUAUGUCAAUCACUGUUCAGUGGAUAAUUGUGUGUCUGACUUGCUAUUCUGGAGAUGUAUCAAUGCUUACUUAAAAACUGAUCCAGAAUGAACACCAUAUGAGCAUGAAAUUGCCUUGGCAAUUGGCUUGGUGAUAGACUGGAAAUUCGGAACUCAUAAAAGCAGUUGGCCUAUCUGCACUUGACUUGCUUGAGACAUUUACUUUGUUUUUGUUCAUUUCAGUGGUAGAUCAUUGCUGGAAUUCUGUGUAUUCAAUCUUAGAGUCAUUGCAAACCAUUUUUUUGUCACUUUCUAAACUACAGAACUGGGUUGUUUCAAUGCUUGUUAAUCACUAUUUUGGCCCAAAAAAAGAAAUAAAGGCAUAAGAGUUGAGUUAGUCAGUCAAAAGAGACAAAUUCUGAAAAGAAUAAUGAGGAACUGAACACGUGAAUUUUGAGUAAAAGCCUAUGAAAUUGAGUAAACUGACCUUGAGUGAACAAAACAAGCAUCAUUAAACUUGCUUGAGUGGAUUCCAGUGAGCAAUUGUGUCCAUACUUGAAAUUGCUAAAAAUAGCUAUUGGACAAGAUCAAUUUUGCAUCUGAAACCUGUUUUCAACGAUCAGUUCUGCAAUUCUUUGUUAUAUUCUCUUUUAUUUGCUUUCUUAAUCUGUGUUAGAGCUAUUCAUAGGUUCUGUUUGAGUGCUCACGUUCUUUCAAGCUUUAUUUCUUGCUUGUCUUGAUUGUUAAAUCUGGUUUUGUCCAUCACAAGUGCAUAUUGUUCUGUUGUUCUUAAUUUGAAGCUUUUCUUUGCUUUCAUAAUCUGAUCUAGAGCCUCUUGAGUCGUCUGCUGUGCUGUUCUGUUAGUCUCCAUUAUCUGGUGCAUCCUUUUGUUUGUGGCUGUCAUUGUUUUGCUCUGUUCUAUUCUACUUGCAUUUGCCUUUUCCUAGCCAUUCUUUUUUUUGUUUGAGAAUCUGAUGUUAUUCUGGAAAUUGGAACAAAGGUAUUUGUGAAUGGUAGCCUCUUAGGUGGAAGUGAUCCACAGGAUUAUCUGGCAUUGACUGAAAUCUUUUCAAAACCUACCCUUGAGUGUGUAAACUGUUAGAGUGAAUCCUUGAGAGAUGUGAGAUUUGUGAGGCUGAUUUUGGCCUAAAUUCCUUGGACAAUUUGUAAGAGAGAAUCACUUUUGCUUAACUGUUGCUUAAUCAUCUGACUGUUCAUUGUGCAGGUUGCUUAAGCCUUUUAACGUUAGUUUUGAAUACAUAUAAUUGAAUUUGGUUUAAGGUCCAAUUGCGUGUACAUUUGUUGGAAUCUGGUGUGAAAUUUUGGUGUGCAGAGCUGAUUUGUGGGAGCUUUGAGCUAAAGGGAGUUUCUUUUAUCUCAAAUUGUUUCUUAUAUGCAUAAAUUGUUUUGUCUGUUCUGCAUAUCUUAGAGUUAGAAUUGUGCUAAUCAACUGGAUUUGUACAGACUUUGCUGUUUUGCUGUGACAAGCUGUCUUUGCUGUGUUUGUUUUGGAUUGGAUCAUAUCGCAGCAACAACACCACUCAUGUAGCUUGAAGUUGAGCUACCCAGUUUGGGAGUCAGUUCGCGGAGGAGUUUACUAAGAAAACAGCAGCUUCGGCAUUUCAUAUUGGAGUUUGAACUGAAGGGAGUCUUUAGUUUCAUUACCUCUGUUUUCUUUAAGUUGAAUUGUUCCUGUUAUUGUUUGGUUUUGAUUAGCAACUGGAGAAGUGUUGACUUAGUGUUGAAUUCUUUGUCCAGCAGAUCUCAAUUUGGAGGCAAAGGAAAUUCUUUCAGCUACAUCAAUUGCCGAGAUCAAGAGAAAAGAUUGGACUGGCCAGCAGAUUGAUUCCAUAAAAUUGAUUUUAGGAAACCCCAAAGUUGUCCAGCAACAACAGUUUUUCGUGGAAAGAAAACGAAAUUCCUAGUUGCAUCAAGUGUACAAGCUCAUUAAGACAGGGAAGUUCUUACUGCCUUAUAUCUUCUUUGGUACCAUCUAUUUUAAACAAGAGAAUAUUAAAUUGUGCAUGUGUAUUGGUUGUAUUGGUAGGAUUGGACUAGUUAGGAGACUCCAGAUCAUUGAUGAUGUAGAAGUAAGCAAGAGCAUACCGAAGCUGUCCAGAAACUGUCAAGAAGCAACCAAACGUGGCACGAGAGUGUGGGUACAAAAAGAUUUGGACCGUAGCUGAGGAGCAGUAGAAUAGUUUCAAUUUUUUUGUUUUGUUUGUAUUUCUAUUGGGCUUGUGUUAGCCCACUGGUAGUUUUAGUUUUAUUUUAGUUUGUAAAAGGGCCUUUAUAUAAAGUCCAAGUUUGGAAGAGUGUGUCUUUCAAAUCUUGGCAACUUUUAUUGUUUGUUUCUUUAAUUUUAGCAUUACUUAGACUGGUGAGUGUGUCUUGCUAGCAUAAGCUACAAGCCUCACCUUAGGAGUAGAAUUUUAUCUUGUCUUUGCAUGUGUUUGAUUUUCACGUGUAGGUGUGACCUUUGUCACAUUAGAGUCUGAACGUAUUAGGGGUGUUAGAGUCCGUUUUCAUUGUUUGUUUCUUUUGAGUCUUGUACUUUGAUUUUGAACAAAAAUGUCUUGUUAUUCAUCUAGGAUGUCUAGUUCAUACAUUAAGGAUGAUUUGUGUACUAAAGCUAGAAAAAUUCCCUUCUUUGGUAGAGAUACAGAUGUCUUAACAUAUCUAGUUUGGGAAAAAGAAAUUAAUCAAAUGCAUCUUGUUCUUAUUAGGCAAAGUGAACUUGAGUCUUAUAGUACAAUUGUUCUUUCUAGAGAGUGUGAAUCUCGUGUUCUUAGUUUAUAUCUCUCUAGAUUAGAAAAGUAUGCACUAGAGUGGUGGGAUGAAAGGCAAUAUUGGGUUCAUCAAGG
rnacentral:lncRNA from 1 species